CAUUUGUUAUAUUCAGUCCUAGUUCUACAGGAGUUUUCUGAGAAUAUUUGUCAAUGGCCUCAAAGAGCAACCUCACCCUCUUUCUGCCAUGUGGGGCUAGAAGAGGAGGGCAACAUGCAACCAUAAGAGCACCCUCAGAGCACCAGAACUGGACCUGCAUCCUGAUCUCAGACUUCCAGCCUCCAGCACUGAAGAGCAUCGGGAUCAAAAGGAUUCAACAAGGAUGGAUGCCCUCUCUCCAGUUUGCUGAGACAGGGGUGUCACUCCUGCAGCAGCAAGAGACUUUUGCUUUGGCCAAGAAGCCAUCAAUAAUUUGUUUUCAUAACCAGCAGAGGGCGCCAGGGCCUGCAGUAUGGUUAACAAGCGGUGAAAUCAUCUAACCUUCAGGUGAUUUCUUGAGUUUGGAAAUUGGCAAGCUAACAAAUGCUUUAAAGAAGAAAAGUGGUGACUGCUAAAGAAAUGUAUUUGAAUUCUGAGGCACUUAAAUAAUGUUGAUUAUUAAAUAAAACAGAUUUAACUGA
ensembl:lncRNA